UAGGGAAUCUUCCACAAUGGACGCAAGUCUGAUGGAGCAACGCCGCGUGAGUGAAGAAGGUUUUCGGACCGUAAAGCUCUGUUGUUGGUGAAGAAGGAUAGAGGUAGUAACUGGCCUUUAUUUGACGGUAAUCAACCAGAAAGUCACGGCUAACUACGUGCCAGCAGCCGCGGUAAUACGUAGGUGGCAAGCGUUGUCCGGAUUUAUUGGGCGUAAAGCGAGCGCAGGCGGAAGAAUAAGUCUGAUGUGAAAGCCCUCGGCUUAACCGAGGAAUUGCAUCGGAAACUGUUUUCUUGAGUGCAGAAGGGGAGAGUAGAACUCCAUGUGUAGCGGUGGAAUGCGUAGAUAUAUGGAAGAAUACCCAGUGGCGAAGGCGGCUCUCUGGUCUGCAACUGACGCUGAGGCUCGAAAGCAUGGGUAGCGAACAGGAUUAGAUACCCCUGGUAGUCC
rnacentral:rRNA from 1 species